AGGGGAGCGUUCUGUAAGCCUGUGAAGGUGGCCUGUGAGGGUUGCUGGAGGUAUCAGAAGUGCGAAUGCUGACAUAAGUAACGAUAAAGCGGGUGAAAAGCCCGCUCGCCGGAAGACCAAGGGUUCCUGUCCAACGUUAAUCGGGGCAGGGUGAGUCGACCCCUAAGGCGAGGCCGAAAGGCGUAGUCGAUGGGAAACGGGUUAAUAUUCCCGUACUUGGUGUUACUGCGAAGGGGGGACGGAGAAGGCUAUGUUGGCCGGGCGACGGUUGUCCCGGUUUAAGCGUGUAGGUGUGUGUUCCAGGUAAAUCCGGUUCACUUUAACACUGAGGCGUGAUGACGAGGCACUACGGUGCUGAAGCAACAAAUGCCCUGCUUCCAGGAAAAGCCUCUAAGCAUCAGGUAACACGAAAUCGUACCCCAAACCGACACAGGUGGUCAGGUAGAGAAUACCAAGGCGCUUGAGAGAACUCGGGUGAAGGAACUAGGCAAAAUGGUGCCGUAACUUCGGGAGAAGGCACGCUGACAUGUAGGUGAAGUGAUUUACUCAUGGAGCUGAAGUCAGUCGAAGAUACCAGCUGGCUGCAACUGUUUAUUAAAAACACAGCACUGUGCAAACACGAAAGUGGACGUAUACGGUGUGACGCCUGCCCGGUGCCGGAAGGUUAAUUGAUGGGGUCAGCGCAAGCGAAGCUCCUGAUCGAAGCCCCGGUAAACGGCGGCCGUAACUAUAACGGUCCUAAGGUAGCGAAAUUCCUUGUCGGGUAAGUUCCGACCUGCACGAAUGGCGUAAUGAUGGCCAGGCUGUCUCCACCCGAGACUCAGUGAAAUUGAACUCGCUGUGAAGAUGCAGUGUACCCGCGGCAAGACGGAAAGACCCCGUGAACCUUUACUAUAGCUUGACACUGAACAUUGAGCCUUGAUGUGUAG
rnacentral:rRNA from 1 species